rnacentral:lncRNA from 10 species
CAGACAGGUUCUUCCUGCCUGCUGCACAGACAAAAUCAAUCUACUGAGACUGUGCUGUUGCAGUAGAGAAAGACUUUCAUUGACCAAGCCCAGCUCACACAGGAGAACUGGCAUUCUCACUCAAAUUGGUCUCCCUGAAGGCUCAGAAGCCAGGGGAUUUUAUGGACAAUUGAUGGACAGGGGGUUAGGGAAUAAGUGCAGCUGAUUGGUUGGGGAUGAAAUUAUAGAGGUGUGGAAAAUGGUUCCCGUGCACUGAGUCCACCUCUGGGUGGGGUCACAGGGCCAUUUGAGUCAUGAGUCACAAGUCUAGGUGGGGUCAGUCUGAAAAAUCUAAAAAAAAAAAAACGAUCUUAGGUUCUACAAUAGUGACAUUAUCUACAGGAGCAAUUGGAAGAGUCACAAAUCUUGUGACCUCUGGCCAUCUGACUCCUGAGCUGUAAGGGAUUAUAGAAACUAUGCCUACCUUAUCAGAAUUUAGUCCCCUCCCAUAAUCCUAUUCUUGUGGCCUUUCGUUAGUCUUACCAAAGGUGGUUUUCAGUCCCUGAGCAAGGAAGGGAUUAGUUUUCGGGAGGAGCUAUUAUUAUCCUUGCUUUCAAAUUAAACUAUAAACUAAAUUCUUCUCAAAGUUAGCUUGGCUUAGCCCCAGGAAUGACCAAGGACAGCUUGGAGGUCAGAAGCAAGAUGGCCGCUGGCUCUGCCGGGUUGGAUCUCAGGCCUCUACAGUCCAGCGCCCCACACACCCUCAUUUCCAGGAUGGGGAAAUGCUACUGCAGACGGGAUUGUGCGCGGACUGUCUCUCGUUCGCUUCAGUCUGGGAGAACACUGGGCCGGGAAGGGAGGGCACUGCCGCUUAGGGGCCGCGCAGUGGAGCAGUACAUCCCUUCUGUAGCAGGCAGCUUCUGCGCCAUCACAAACGGCAUUGAGGCCUGGGAAAAGUCGGGCCCAGUGCUCACCCCGUAGCCCCACGGGCCGUCGCCCCUGACAGGGGGCCAUGGGCUGUGUGCUCCCGGGUCAUCCAGGUGGUGCUGUCACAUGGGCCACGUGGCUUCAACCUGAGCCUUGGACUUGUCCCUCCUGUGAAGUGAGAGGAGGGGCCUGGUGGCCCCGAGUCCUGUUGAUCCUGAUAUUUGGGGGCACCCGGGGCUGGCUGGCGUCCUUCGUGCAGGCACCUCAUUGCUGGGCUGUCUCCACAGUGUGUGAGAAGGCCAGAUUCAGCGGCAAUUCCUCCGGGAGGCCCACCGGGAAGAUCUUUGGAGGCCAGAGGGCUGAGCCUUAGCGGUGGCCAUGGCAGGCCAGUCUCCUCUACCUAGGCGGGCACAUCUGUGGAGCUGCCCUCAUCGACAGCAACUGGGUGGCCUCUGCUGCUCACUGCUUCCAAAGAUGCAUCUUCCCUCCACGGGCCCCGCUGUGGGAGUGCAUGCAAGAGGGAAGCCCAAAGUGAGGGCGCAGUCUUUUCUUUGUACGCUUUGUUCUGGGACAGUUUGCUGCCCCAGGUGUCCUGCCUUUGACCCAGCAGUGCCCUGUGCCUGGAAUGCUGUCCCUGCUCGUCACUCUGCUCCAGUCUCCUGACCAACUGUGUGGCAUCUCCCAAGCAGAGGCUCCUACCUCAUCUCUCACUCUGGGGUUGGGCAUUCCCCAACCCCACCCCACCCCACACCACAUUGGUCAGCCUGCUAAGAUGGUGUGGUUGCCUCAUUACAUUGCACAUUACUUUGAAAUAGCUAAAUGGAGCCGGGUGUGAUGGCUCACACCUGUAAUCCUAGUACUUGGGAGGCUAAGGUGGGAGGAUUGUAUGAGUCCAGGAAUUCCAGACCAGCCUGGGCAACAUAGUGACACCUCAUCUCUACAAAAAGUACAAAAAUUAGCCGGGCCUGGUGGUGUGCGCCUGUAGUCCCAGCUACUUGGGAGGAUCACUUGAGCCUGGGAGGUCAAGGCUGCAAGUGACUGUGAUCACACCAUUGCACUCCACCCUGGGUGACAGAAUGAGACCUGUCUGAAAAUAAGUAAAUAAUUAAAAGUAAAAAUAAAUAGUUAAGGCCUGUCACGGUGGCUCACACCUGUAAUCCCAGCACUUUAGGAGGCCAAGGCAGGUGGAUUGCUUGAGCCCAAGAGUUCAAGACCAGCCUGGGCAACAUGGCAAAACCCAUCUCUACUAAAAAUAAAAAAAUUAGCCAAGUACGAUGGGGCAGGCCUGUGGUCCCUGCUACUGAGGAGGCUGAGGCAGGAGGAUCACCUGAGCCCAGGGAGGUCGAGGCUGCAGUGAAAUGUGGUUGUGCCACUGCACUCCAGCCUGGGCCACAAAGCCAGAUCUUGUCUCAAAAAUAAAAUAAAAUAAAUAGCUAAAUGAAAAUUAACUCACUCUAGUUGGGACUGUCAAUAAAUACAGGAAAACAGACUUUUGUUCUAAAGGGAACCACUUCCAGCCCAUUCUCCGUCUGCUGUAAACUUUAGGAAUCAAAAUCCUAAUGUUCCCCUCAGGGUGAACUUUGGUUUCUGCAUCUUGCCCAGCUCUAGGCCAUCCACACAAUCUCAGUGGGCCUCGGUUUUUCUUGUGUAAAUGGUAGUGGGUGUGCAGUGUCCCAGGCCACACACUUGACACACACUUCAGGUGAUAAGACAGAGUGACAGUCCCAGGGCUUCUCAGGGCCAGGCAGGCAUGGUCGAGCACCUGGCCCCUUCCAACCAGGGCUCAUUGCAGGCUGUCCGGGGAACACCUGCCGGAGGCUCCCCUAGGUCCUGGCUACCCACAUAUGCUGGCACAUUCUUCCCCAGAAGGGUCCUGCGACUCUGUAUGUCCAGCCACCAGGGGGUUUUUGUCACUUCU